UACAGAGGUCUCAAGCGUUGUUCGGAUUCAUUGGGCGUAAAGGGUGCGUAGGUGGCGCCGUUAGUCGGGUGUGAAAUUUCGGAGCUUAACUCCGAAACUGCAUUCGAUACUGCCGUGCUUGAGGACUGGAGAGGAGACUGGAAUUCCCGGUGUAGCGGUGAAAUGCGCAGAUAUCGGGAAGAACACCCGUGGCGAAGGCGGUUCUCUGGGACGGUACUGACGCUGAGACGCGAAAGCGUGGGGAGCGAACAGG
rnacentral:rRNA from 1 species